UACGUAGGGUGCAAGCGUUAAUCGGAAUUACUGGGCGUAAAGCGUGCGUAGACGGUUAUUUAAGUCGGAUGUGAAAUCCCCGGGCUUAACCUGGGAACUGCAGUCGAGACUGCUUUGCUUGAGUAUGGGAGAGGGAGGUGGAAUUUCCGGUGUAGCGGUGAAAUGCGUAGAUAUCGGAAGGAACAUCAGUGGCGAAGGCGACCUCCUGGACCAAUACUGACACUCAAGUGCGAAAGCGUGGGGAGCAAACAGG
rnacentral:rRNA from 1 species